GACGAACGCUGGCGGCGUGCUUAACACAUGCAAGUCGAACGGAAAGGCCCUGCUUUUGUGGGGUGCUCGAGUGGCGAACGGGUGAGUAACACGUGAGUAACCUGCCCUUGACUUUGGGAUAACUUCAGGAAACUGGGGCUAAUACCGGAUAGGAGCUCCUGCUGCAUGGUGGGGGUUGGAAAGUUUCGGCGGUUGGGGAUGGACUCGCGGCUUAUCAGCUUGUUGGUGGGGUAGUGGCUUACCAAGGCUUUGACGGGUAGCCGGCCUGAAAGGGUGACCGGCCACAGUGGGACUGAGAUACGGCCCAGACUCCUACGGGAGGCAGCAGUGGGGAAUAUUGCACAAUGGGCGGAAGCCUGAUGCAGCAACGCCGCGUGCGGGAUGACGGCCUUCGGGUUGUAAACCGCUUUCGCCUGUGACGAAGCGUGAGUGACGGUAAGGGGUAAAGAAGCGCCGGCUAACUACGUGC
rnacentral:rRNA from 1 species